AUAUAUGUGUGUAUAUAUAUAUAUAUAUAUAUAUGUGUGUAUAUAUAUAUAUAUAUAUGUGUGUGUAUAUAUAUAUAUAUAUAUGUGUGUGUAUAUAUAUAUAUAUAUAUGAGAGAGAGAGAGAGUAGAUAAAGGGGUGCACUUGUAGGUAUUUUUUCAAUAAAUGUUUAAUUUAGUUGCAUAUCACAUAUGUGUCCUAGAUCAGCAUUUCGACCCAUUCGGGUCUUUCUCAAGAUGUAACUGAAUUAACCAGUUAUUGAAAAAAAGUCCUACAAGUGGACCCUUUUGUCUAAUCGACAUAUCAACUUGGGUUUGCACCAAGGCAAGAUGGAAUUGUACACUGAAAGGGAAUAUAUAUUAUAUAUGAGUUGCUGCAAAUUAAAAUGUGAAUUGCAAAUUUAAGCCAAACAUUUGAAGAAAUUCUUCAACCGUGCUAUAGCCGCAGCUUGGAUAUUUUAGCCUUAAUUUUGCAAUCCUGCUUUCAAUUUACUAGAAAUCAGAAUUUAGUAAAGACUCUGUGUGUUUGCAUUCCUCCAGGACUCAUUAAUAUAAUACUUACUGUAUAUGAACAUAACAGAGUUCUACAGCAGUAAAAGUCUCAAUAGCCCUGUUGCCCCCCCUUCUCCCCCUGGAUCCGCCACUGGCCACACCUCGCUGUAGGUGACUAACGCAACCUACUUUUAAAAAAAAAUAAUCCGAUUUUAAUUUACUUCAGAAAAUGUUAUAUCCUGAUUUGUAAGUUGAACUUUAAUCACACGCAUUAGGUUCCUGCAAAGUCUAUAACAGUAGUAGGCAGCCUUUAAGUAGUAAUGUAUCAAAACAAAAUCUUAAAAUCCUGUGCCGGUCCUUUUUUUUUUUUUUUUAAAUGAAGGUUUGCAUGUUGCCGUAUCCUGCUUGUGUUAUUUAUAGGUGCUCCAGUUGCUUUGUAGCGUUGUAUUUGUCCGUAUGUGUGCUGUAAUAUUGUAUAUGUUCAUGAGUAGUUUGUGGUAUUGUGUAUCAUACCUGUGUAUGGGGCUGCUUGUGGAAUUGUGUGUGAGGAUGCGUGCACCUUGAAUAUGCUGUGCAAUUUUGGGCACCUGUUCUAAAGAAGGAUAUUAUGUCACUAGAAAUGUGUAGAGGCGGGCCAAACAAUUAAUAAAAGAAAUGAAACAUUUUUGUUAUGAAAAAAGUUUAACAAAUUUAAAUCUCUUUAGUUUAGAAAAACGGUACCUCAGAGUGGUUAUGAUUAAAAAGAUAUAUUCAGGGUUAAUACGAACCAUUGUCUGGAAAUCUGUUCAUAAACAGGACUAUACAGAGGACACAAGGUCACGCAUUUAGACUGGAAGAAAGGAGAUUUAGUCUAAGGCAAAAGGAAAGGUUUUUACAGUAAGAACAAUAAGCAUGUGGAAUUCUCUGCCUCAAGAGGUGGUUUUAUCAGAGUCUGUUAAGAUUUUUAAACAGCAACUGGAUGACUACUUGCAAAAACAUAAUAUUCAGGGAUAUAAUGUUUGACUUGCGGGGUAACAGCUUCUUGAUCCAAAGAGAGCUCGGACUGCCAUUCUUGGGUCAAGAAAGAUAUUUUUCCUACUUUCUGACAAAAUUAGAAACACUUCAAACUGUGUUUGCCUUCUUUUGGAUCAACAGCAAAAACAGAUUUGAGAAAGGCUGACCUUGAUGGACGCAAGUCUUUUUGUAGCUAUGUAAUUGUUAUGUCACACUGUGUGUUUGAUGGUGUGUAUAAGUGUGGGGCUUCUUGUUGUGUUGCAUGUAAGAGGCUGCUUGUGGGGUUCUGUCCAUGUAUGUGGAUUGCCAGUGGUGUUGUGUUUGUGUGUUGGCUAUUUGUAUGAGGGGGAGGCUUUUUCUGCAGCUCUAUGUAUACAACAUCCUCAAUACAUACCUUAAAACUAGUUGUUUCUCAGUGGGCAGACCAAUGGGUGGAUUAGAGGGGUUUGGCCUGGCAGUUUAUUGCCCACUCCAUAUUUUCUUAAAUUAUGUUGUCCUUUGAAGAACCCAAAGUCAGAGCAUUCGCAUCAAUGCCUUUUACGAUGCCCUAUGUCCAGCUCUGGUGAUGGUUAUCUUAGUAGUUUUAUGGCUUAGGCCUUGUGUAAGAUCAAAGCCUACAAUAAAGGUUUCCAAACGUAUAAUAAAAAAAACUCAUUACAUAUAUCAAAUGCCAACUCAUGCUUUGGCAUGACAGUUGCUGAUCCCUGUUCUAGAAGGCUGUUAACAGAGCAGAAUAUAUGAAAUUCUAAAUUAAUCAGGCUUUGAAGUCUAAACGUUAGAUGUCUUUUUACAGGAAGUGUUUAGCAAGGCUGUGCAAGUCACAUGCAAGGAGCUGUGUCUAGUGUGCAUAAACAAAGUUAUUUAACUCCUAAAUGUCAGAGAAUUGAGCAGACUGCAGAGAGACUGCAAGGGCAUGAUCUACACACCAAAGAGUGUCUAUUUAAGGCCAAAAUAGUUAAAGUGUUAAAACAUCUUGUUUUUCAGUUUUGUCUUUUGGACCAAUUUAUUGGGCUAAAAUUUAAAAUUCACUUUUACUUCCCAAUAUUUUACAAUAUUGUAAAACACCCUGCCUGUUUUGUUGAACACUGCCUAUAUAUAGGGAAUUGUUCACAUUGAAAUGCUGAAUUAUUUAUUCUCAAAAUUUAUAUUAAAGAAAAAACAAAAAAAAAAGCAUCCACAUGCGACAUUAGCAUCUAAUUGUAAGGAUAUUUUUUAAAAAUAUAUCUUUAUCACUUUUUCUUCUUCAGGAAAGGUUACAUUUUUUGUUUAUUUUUUAUUGGGAGUGCUUUUUAAUGUAUGGAAAGAGGCACUGAAAUAUAUAAAAAAAAAUUUUACAAGUUGUGUUCAUGAUCUUCAGAGAAGUAAAUUUUUUGUUACGUUAUUUUUGUUAUUUGUAAAUGUACAUUUACUUUUUUUCUUUUUUUUCACUUUGGUAUGUUUUAUAUUAUUAUAUAAAUUUAAAUACAUUUUUUGUAUGUAAAGUAAAAGACGUAUCAUUUGAAAAUGCUUUUGGUAAUGUGUGCCAUCAAAACUUCAUUUGCCAACAAAACUUUUGAUUCUGACAAUCAGUGAUAUUUUCAAAGGUCUUUUGUUGAUUGGAAUCUCUUAAGUAGUGGACAUAUUGGUUGAAUUUUUCAAUAAUGCUGCUCUAUUUAAUUGUCCAGACUGUAACUUCAGAUAUGGGGUGUAUAUUUUCUUUUAGAGAAAGACAUUGUGAGUACACCAAUACUUUGUUUUUGGGGGGUUUUCUGUGAUUAAGUAAAAAAAUUACUAAUAAAUAAAGAGCCUCUUUGCCAAUAUUGCAAUGGUAGCUGGCUGCCUAGAAAGCAUUCAGUUAUUUUUAAUUUUUUGUUUUUAUUUUUACUAAACUGUGUAUUAACAGGAAAUUUUAACAAAAGUAGGACUCUAUUUAAUACGCUUUCAAAAGGAUAUUUCUACAGAAGUCACCGUUAAAGUCUAUGGGAUUUUUGUAGAUCAGUAAUUUGUAAAAGUUUUGUAAUAGUAUUGAAUACUCUGGAAAGCUUAUUAAUUUGAGGCUUUAGUUGGUAGAAAAGUGGUCAGACUUCUUUUCAAAGAAAUCAAAAUCCGGCACUGACAACUGAAUAGGUAAACAAAGAUUUACCUUAGCAAACCACAAUAUUUUGGGGAUUUACCAGGGAACCUUAAAAUGCAGGCCUGAAAAACAAUUGGAUAAAAAUGGCAACCAUAUUUUCUGACAUAUCAGGAUUUUUAACAAAUAGUAAUACAGGUUUUUUUUUUUUUUUUUUUCUAGUUUGGGAGUAGUUUUGACAUUUUAAUGUUCAUUGGAACCUGGAUAAGUGACACUGAAAUGACACGUUACCUGCAGUAUUGUAAUUUUCAAAUCAUUGUAUGAUAUCAAUAAAACUGAGUUACAAGUAAACUACUUUCCGCUAUAAUGCAGUGGGUAUAUGGAUUUAUUUGUCAGUGGGAAAUUAAUAGAGACUUUGAACAGCUCAAAUUCUCAUAAAAUUUGUAGAAGAAAACAAAAAUUCAAAAUGUAAAUUUAAAGUGACACUCCAUGCUAGAGUUAAAUCCACAAAAAAAUAAAAACAAUGAAAGAAAAGAUGCUUGACUCCCUAUUUGCCUUGAUUUCUGCAACACUGAAGAAUCUACGGGGACUCGGGAGAUAGAGUGGAGGUUGACCUGUAGCUAUAGCAUACCCUAUGUAGGUAGUAUAAAUGUUGAGAUGCAUAGAUUAUCCUUUUAAACUGUAAUUAUUAAUUAGCUUUAUGCUGAGAUAUUACAACAUAUUUUUCAUUUCUGAAAUGCCAGUGUGGGCCAGAGCCAGUCCUGAGCUAAAAUUAAUCGACAUAAAACUAAUGAGGUCCUAUUUUGGAGGAACAGUCGCUAUUUUGGGCCUAAAUCCCCGUCUCCCUCUGUCCUAUUCUGAUGUCUCUAGUUUCUAGAAACUCUGUAUUAUUGGUGUGUCUGAGUGUUUAACAAAGUA